rnacentral:rRNA from 1 species
AGCCGCCGCGGUAAUUCGGAGGGUGCGAGCGUUGUCCGGAAUCACUGGGCGUAAAGGGCGCGUAGGCGGCGCGGAGAGUCAACGGUGAAAGCUCGGGGGUCAACCCCGAGUCGGCCGUCGAUACUUCCGUGCUGGAGCACUGUAGAGGCAGGUGGAAUUCCGGGUGUAGCGGUGGAAUGCGUAGAGAUCCGGAAGAACACCGGUGGCGAAGGCGGCCUGCUGGGCAGUAGCUGACGCUGAUGCGCGACAGCGUGGGGAGCAAACAGGAUUAGAUACCCUGGCAGUCCACGCCGUAAGCGAUGGGCACUAGGUGCUUGGGGGAGCGACCCUCUGAGUGCCGGCGCUAACGCAUUAAGUGCCCCGCCUGGGGAGUACGGCCGCAAGGCUGAAACUCAAAGGAAUGACGG